rnacentral:tRNA from 1 species
GAUAGCGUAGCCAAGGAAACUAGGGCGCUGGAUAUAGGCUCCAGUCUCUUUGGGGGCGUGGGUUCGAAUCCCACCGCUGCCA